UAUCGGAUUACUGGGCGUAAAGCGCACGCAGGCGGUUUGUUAAGUCAGAUGUGAAAUCCCCGGGCUCAACCUGGGAACUGCAUUUGAAACUGGCAAGCUAGAGUCUCGUAGAGGGGGGUAGAAUUCCAGGUGUAGCGGUGAAAUGCGUAGAGAUCUGGAGGAAUACCGGGGGCGAAGGCGGCCCCCUGGACGAAGACUGACGCUCAGGUGCGAAAGCGUGGGGAGCAAACAGGAUUAGAUACCCUGGUAGUCCACGCUGUAAACGAUGUCGAUUUGGAGGUUGUGCCCUUGAGGCGUGUCUUCCGGAGCUAACGCGUUAAAUCGACCGCCUGGGGAGUACGGCCGCAAGGUUAAAACUCAAAUGAAUUGACGGGGGCCCGCACAAGCGGUGGAGCAUGUGGUUUAAUUCGAUGCAACGCGAAAAACCUUACCUACUCUUGACAUCCAGAGAACUUUCCAGAGAUGGAUUGGUGCCUUCGGGAACUCUGAGACAGGUGCUGCAUGGCUGUCGUCAGCUCGUGUUUGUGAAAUGUUGGG
rnacentral:rRNA from 1 species